rnacentral:lncRNA from 1 species
UUCUAUUUUAUAUAAGUCAGAGUCUUUCUUGACGCACAAUCGAUAUGAGAUUAAAGGUGUCCUCCAUCUGCAAUAGUAGCCCUCCUAGUCAGGAGGACUGUGUGCAUGGGUAGGAGGCACACUUUCUCUAGUGUCAUUCUGUUGCGAUCAGGGGUCAAAUGGCUGAGUUGGUCUCUGCUCUUGCAUGCAUAAAGUAUUAUCCACUUCACCUUAGGUUGUCUUGGGCCAUUCAAACCUUGGCCAUUUUGAGUUUCACAGUUUUGCCCUUUAAAAGAUACCUCAUGGGGGAA